AGGGAAUUAGCUCAAGUGGUAGAGCGCUCGCUUAGCAUGCGAGAGGCAGCGGGAUGGAUGCCCGCAUUCUCCA
rnacentral:tRNA from 1 species